CCUACGGGUGGCAGCAGUAGGGAAUAUUGCUCAAUGGGGGAAACCCUGAAGCAGCAACGCCGCGUGGAGGAUGAAGGUUUUAGGAUUGUAAACUCCUUUUGUGAGAGAAGAUAAUUACGGUAUCUCCCGAAUCCUCCCCGGCUAACUCCGUACCAGCAGCCGCGGUCAUACGGCGGGUGCAAGCGUUACUCGGAAUCACUGGGCGUAAAGAGUGCGCAGGCGGGCUUGUAAGUCAGAUGUGAAAUCCUGUAGCUUAACUACAGAACUGCAUUUGAAACUAUGAGUCUAGAGUGUGGGAGAGGUAGGUGGAAUUCUUGGUGUAGAGGUAAAAUCCGUAGAUAUCAAGAGGAAUACUCAUUGCGAAGGCGACCUACUGGAACAUGACUGACGCUCAUGCACGAAAGCGUGGGGAGCAAACAGGAUUAGAUACCCUGGUAGUC
rnacentral:rRNA from 1 species